GACGAACGCUGGCGGCGUGCUUAACACAUGCAAGUCGAACGGAAAGGCCUGCUUUCCCUUGUGGAUUGCGGGUACUCGAGUGGCGAACGGGUGAGUAACACGUGAGUGAUCUGCCCCCAACUUGGGUAUAAGCCUGGGAAACUGGGUCUAAUUCCCGAUAGGACUGCAGGGUGGUGCCUGUGGUGGAAAACGAUUUUCUAGUGGUUGGGGAUGAGCUCGCGGCCUAUCAGCUUGUUGGUGGGGUAAUGGCCUACCAAGGCGGCGACGGGUAGCCGGCCUGAGAGGGUGGACGGCGACAUUGGGACUGGGAUACGGCCCAGACUCCUACGGGAGGCAGCAGUGGGGAAUAUUGCACCAUGGGCGGAAGCCUGAUGCAGCGACGCCGCGUGGGGGAUGACGGCCUUCGGGUUGUAAACUCCUUUCGACCGCGAGGAAGCCACCUGGUUGGAAGGGUGGUGACGGUAGUGGUAGAAGAAGCACCGGCUAACUACGUG
rnacentral:rRNA from 1 species